CCUACCUACUUUUGUUGGCAAGGCAAUGUGGUGUUUUGGUAUAUUUCUGGGGUGAGUUACUUGCUCGAAGUCCAAGUCCGAUUAUGGCUUUGGAUAUGUUCCUAAGAGGGUGAAAGGCCCGUUCGAGCAGGUAGUGAUUGUUACUCUCCCUUAGAUAUAUGUACCAUGGAGUCGGAUUGCUUGAGAAUGCAGUCCAAAGUGGGUGGUAAACUCCAUCCAAGGCUAAAUACUGGCACGAGUCCGAUAGUAGACAAGUACCGUGAGGGAAAGUUGAAAAGUACUCUGAAGAGAGAGUAAAUAGUACGUGAAACUGCCUGAAGGGAAGCUGGUGGAGUCAAGCCUUGUGCUUUAUAAAUUGGCACAGAGAUUGUUGGUCAUGGAGCUUUCAAGCAACCUCUUAUGAAUAGUUGGGGUGGUACGCCACUACGAUUGUUCUUGGAAAAUUAUCGUUUGCUUGGAUUCUUCCGCUUGUCUUGUGCUAUUUUGUAUUGCGCGUACCAUGAUCAAUGUGCUCGUGAUGUGCGUUUCUCUAACCGUACUACGGUAGGCCUUGUGCUUUGCCGAGUGCGGGAUGGCAGGUGGUGAUACUUUGGCUUCGGUUAAGGUAUUAUGUACAGUGGCUUUUUGCUUGCCGAGUUGCGUGCUUUAUAUCAUCUAGCGCAUUGUUUCUAUAUUGGGUAUUCACGCUUUAGUGAUAUUCAUGAGAGUCAUGGUUUGUGGUAGAUUUUCCACCCGACCCGUCUUGAAACACGGACCAAGGAGUUUAACAUGUACGCGAGUCAAUGGGAUCACUACGAAACCCAAUGGCGAAAUGAAAGUGAAAGAUUACAUCUCGUAAUCGAAGGUGUGAUUCUGGUGUUCCUUGAAUAAAGUCACUAGACGCAACACCGGCCCGUCUCGUAAUGUAGUCAUACAGGCCUUGGCUUGUGUGCAUCAUUGUGGCGGAGCAAGAGCGUACAUGUUGAGACCCGAAAGAUGGUGAACUAUGCUUGCGUAGGUCGAAGCCAGAGGAAACUCUGGUGGAAGAUCGUCGCGGUUUUGACGUGCAAAUCGAUCGUCAAACGUGAGCAUAGGGGCGAAAGACUAAUCGAACCAUCUAGUAGCUGGUUCCCUCCGAAGUUUCCCUCAGGAUAGCUGGCACUCAUCUAACACAGUUUUAUCCGGUAAAGCGAAUGAUUAGAGGUAUUGGGGACUAUAUGACCUCAACCUAUUCUCAAACUUUAAAUGGGUACGAUGCAUGGCUCGCCUAAUUGGAGUUGUGCAUCGAAUGAGAGUGCCAAGUGGGCCAUUUUUGGUAAGCAGAACUGGCGAUGUGGGAUGCUCCAAACGUCGAGAUAAGGUGCCAAAUGUGGACGCUCAUGAGACACCACAAAAGGUGUUAAUGCAUACAGACAGCAGGACGGUGGCCAUGAAAGUUGGAAACC
rnacentral:rRNA from 1 species